rnacentral:rRNA from 1 species
GACGAACGCUGGCGGCGUGCUUAACACAUGCAAGUCGAACGGAAAGGCCCUGCUUUUGCGGGGUGCUCGAUUGGCGAACGGGUGAGUAACACGCGUGUAUCCCGUCCCUAACUUUGGGAUAACUUCACGAAACUGGGGCUAAUAUAGGAUAGGAGCUCCUGAUGCACGGGGUGGGUUGGAAAGUUUCGGCCGUGGUGGAUGGACUCGCGGCUUAUCAGCUGGAUGGUGGGGUAGUGGAGUACAAAGGCUUUGACGGGUAGCCGGCCUGGGAGGUUGACCGGGCACCUGGGGCCUGAGGUACGGCGCAGUCGCCUACGGGCCGCAGCGGGCGGGAGUAUGGCGCAGUGGGCCGGCGCGUGUGGCAGCAACGCUGCGUGCGGGAUGACCGCCUUCGGGUUGUAAACCGCUGUCGCCUGUGACGAAGCGUGAGUGACGGUAAUUGGUAAAGAAGCACCGGCUAACUACGU